rnacentral:rRNA from 1 species
UACGGGGGGAGCAAGCGUUGUUCGGAUUUACUGGGCGUAAAGGGCGCGUAGGCGGUCGUGACAAGUCACUUGUGAAAUCUCCGGGCUUAACUCGGAACGGUCAAGUGAUACUGUCGGACUAGAGUACAGAAGGGGCAACUGGAAUUCUCGGUCGUAGCGGUGAAAUGCGUAGAUAUCGGGAGGAACACCAGUGGCGAAGGCGACUUCCUGGCCUGUUCUUGACGCUGAGGCGCGAAAGCUAGGGUAGCAAACGGG